GCCGCCGAAGGUGGGGUAGAUGAUUGGGGUGAAGUCGUAACAAGGUAGCCGUAUCGGAAGGUGCGGCUGGAUCACCUCCUUU
rnacentral:rRNA from 3 species